AUUGAGUUUCCGAAGUUGAAGUCGUUCAGUCGUACACGACAUAUUUGCUGCCUACCCAGGUUCUCGUCUAAAUGGAGGAAGGAAAUGAUGGCAUUGUCCAAGAAUUCACUUUAUGGAAAUCAGGAGGACAACGUGUUAUUUUAAAGAUUGACUCGGAACAAGGGAACGUAAAGUACAUAAGGAAAGGACAGGUUAAACACUCGUGUAUGAUAAAGGACCUAACUGUCACCAACAAGGAUGGGUUACAAAUAGCUGUCAACAUUGAACAACAGCAGAAAAUUCUGUCUGCUGAAAAUUCUCAGAUUAAGGAAGAAAUACUAAAAAACAUCAAAGAGGUCAUAGAGCAACACACGCCUAAACCGAAUAUCCCCUUAAAUGAAGGAUCUCGUACUAUAAAAGAAGGAUAUUUAAUAAAGAAGGGAAAUGCUGUGAUUGAAAAAUGGGCCAGGCGAAAGAUUUGCGUCAAACAAGGUUUCUUGAUCUACUACCCCGAUCAUUCAGAGGUAAAAGUUAUAUCUUCAAAAAAAAAAAGAUUCUAAUAUUAAGGAUUUUAAUGAUAAAAGACUUGCUUUAUUUUUUGAAUUUCCGAGGAAUAAAAAUUAACCAAGCAGUCGUUUAACCACAGAAAAUAGUCAAACUUUCACCAGUAAUAGAAUGUCACGUGGAGGCCGUAGGGACAGACAAGUUCAACGUCAUAGUACCGGAAAGAACUUACAGUUUUCAGAUCCCUGACACUGUACAGGAUAAACAGGAAGAACGAGAUGACUGGGUCAGGUGCAUUAGGAUAGCUAUAAUGGAUAGAAAAUCACAAAGAGUGGGGAGUCAGAAGGUGCUACCGGAUGCUCUGAUUAGACAUAGCGCUAAUCGAAAAUCCUUCCCUAAAUCACCCAUAUUAAAACAAGGCAUUCUCGAUAAGCAGGGACACGCAACAGUUAAAGUCUGGAAAGAGCGUUUUGUAAAGGUGGAAUCUGGAAAGUUUUCAUACGCUCCCCCUGACAAAGUAGAGAAUACUUUAAAUGUUGUGAAUCUUCAAGAGAACAAAGUUUCAAUAAUAGCAACAAAAAAUUAUGGAUUGGAUGUGAAGGUUCCAGGCAGGACUUUUCAUUUUAGGAUACAUGCUACAGUUGAAAACAAAGAGGAAGAACAUUGGAAUUGGAUGGAAGCUUUCAACAAAGCAUGCUGUUCUAGGACAUCUUCUGAGUUACUGGAAGACAUAAACAAAGAAAAUGGUCAUAAUGACACUUGCCCGACAGAACAGGGUCCCCAGAACACGAUGGGCAAUGCAGACGAUGAAAAUAGCUGUCGAUUGACUAUUCUGGUACCUCCAGGAGAUACAUUAAACGUGAUCAAAAAGCCAAGUAGGUCGGGUACAAAGAGACCUACCCGAGAGCACCUUAGACGGGAAAGUAAAGAGGAGCCUCCAUAAAAUAACUUUUUUGGGGGGAGGGGGGAUCUAGUGGGUGGCUGUUAGUAACUACUACUACUGAUUAUUAUUGUGUAAUCGCCAUAUAUGAUAUUAUAUCAUAUAUAGUAUUUAAACUAUAUUUGGAUUAUAGAUUAUUUCAGGGACAUUUUACAAGAAGUAUUUAUCAUUUUAGUUCUUGUCUAUAUAUCAAUUAAAAUAUCGUAAGUAUAUUCAAUAUUAAUACAAUCUGAACAAUUUUGUUUGUUUUACAAAAGUGAAAUAAUUGUGAUUAACAUGAGAAAGAAACAUGUUUAUUUAAUGUGAUACUCUUGCAUUUGUUCGUUAUAUAUAUUGCAGUGUAAAUUGUACUAAAAUUUGUAUGCACCAGUUAAAAAAAAUUAAUAAAAAUUCAAAAUACC
rnacentral:misc_RNA from 1 species